rnacentral:rRNA from 1 species
UUGGGAAUUUUCCGCACUGGGCGCAAGCCUGACGGAGCAACGCCGCGUGAGGGAGGAAGGCCUGUGGGUUGUAAACCUCUUUUCUCUGGGAAGAAGGUCUGCCGGUACCAGAGGAAUCAUCAUCGGCUAACUCCGUGCCAGCAGCCGCGGUAAGACGGAGGAUGCAAGCGUUAUCCGGAAUUAUUGGGCGUAAAGCGUCCGUAGGCGGUUAUACAAGUCUGCUGUUAAAGACUACAGCUCAACUGUAGGAUGGCGGUGGAAACUGUGUGACUAGAGUUCGGUAGGGGUAGAGGGAAUUCCCAGUGUAGCGGUGAAAUGCGUAGAUAUUGGGAAGAACACCAGUGGCGAAGGCGCUCUACUGGGCCGAGACUGACGCUGAUGGACGAAAGCUAGGGGGGCGAAAGGGAUUAGAUACCCCGGUAGUCC